UACAGAGGGGCAAGCGUUGUCCGGACUUACUGGGUGUAAAGCGCAUGCAGGUGGCUGUGCAAGUAUGCUGUGAAAGCCCCGUGCUUAACACGGGGAGGCCAGUAUAGACUGCACGGCUCGAGGACUGCAGAGGGUAGGGGAAUUGCUGGUGUAGUGGUGAAAUGCGUAGAGAUCAGCAGGAACACCCAAGGCCGAAGGGACCUACCUGGCAGUAUCUGACACUCAAGUGCGACAGCGUGGGGAGCGAACCGG
rnacentral:rRNA from 1 species